CAGGCCUAACACAUGCAAGUCGUACGCUAACGGGGAUCUUCGGAACCCUUAGUAUAGUGGCGAACGGGUGAGUAAUACGUAGGUAAUCUGCCCCGAAGUGGGGAAUAAUCCGCCGAAAGGCGGACUAAUACCGCAUAUGGUCCAGUUUCCGCAUGAAAACUGGAUCAAAGCCUUCGGGCGCUUCGGGAUGAGCUUGCGCACCAUUAGCUUGUUGGUGAGGUAACGGCUCACCAAGGCGACGAUGGUUAGCUGGUCUGAGAGGAUGAUCAGCCACACUGGGACUGAGAUACGGCCCAGACUCCUGCGGGAGGCAGCAGUGAGGAAUAUUGCGCAAUGGGCGAAAGCCUGACGCAGCCACGCCGCGUGACCGAUGAAGCUCUUAGGAGUGUAAAGGUCUGUUAGGAGGGACGAACAUCCGCCAUCCGGCGGACUGACGGUACCUCCAGAGAAAGCUCCGGCUAACUCCGUGCCAGCAGCCGCGGUAAU
rnacentral:rRNA from 1 species